rnacentral:lncRNA from 1 species
CUGUCUGUCUGUCUAGCACCACAGCUCGGGCGCUGCUGCAGAGGGAAGAAAGAUUUGGGGAGAGGGGCUCAGAGACGGGCUGGGGGUGGGGUCUCCCUGGCUGAUUUUGGCCUGAAAAGGAUAGCUCCUUCGGCUUAGGGACUAGGGCUGGGACUGGGUGACAGGUGGGGAAACAGGCACAGAGAGGGCAGUGCCCAUUCCUGAUGUGGUCUGGAGUGGAGCCUGGGCAGGGUGGUACCACGUGGGUGCUUUAGUCUGUGGGCCACAGAGCCUCGAGACAGAGCACAGGGAGGGAUGGCACGGGGACCCAAGGACCGGGACUGGGAGUCCUUUUACCACCUCCUAGUGGGUGCUCUUAAGUCCAUCGUACGUGUUUCAUGUUCCCCGCGACCGGGGCCCUGCAGAGGCCCAGCCGCCGCUGGACCGCAGGAAGUAUUUAUGAGCACAUCUGUGUGCUGCAAUUGUGUGUCUCUAACGGGGGAGGGGGAGGAGGGGAUUUGGUGGUGAUUAUUUAAGGUAGAGGGCAGCAAGGGGAUGGGGGCAGAAGAAGUGCGGCUCCCGCACGGUUACUGUGCUGCUUGUAUAGGAGAGAGGCACACCCGCCUCAGGGAUGAGAGCGGGUCGGGACCAGAGGCCUGUGGGUAAUUCUCGGUAUCCGCGGGAAGGGGGCAAAGGGAUCCGAGUGGUUUGCGGUCCUUCAUGGUUUUAUUACACAUCGUAGGAGAAUAAAGAAGUUGUAAUGAUGGCCUUGAGUAGAGCAAUUGUGAGACUGUGCUGGACAAAAGACGGUGAUUAAUCCAGGUCCGCUAACCCAACAUCCGCACACAAAAAGCUCUGGGCUAUUUGCUUCCCUUUAAGGGGGCUUUGUGUUCCCUAGAAUGGGCACACUGGGGUUUCUCCUCUGGAGAAGAUCCCCGCUGUGGGGAAGGAAACUGAAGUCCGGCACAAGCCGGGACUGCUGGGCGUCCCCUGUGUAGUUAACAACGAGUAUGGACGCACCGAGGAAGUGAGAGCGCCAACACGCGCCAAUGCGGAGAGCGUGUCUAUGGACAGGUGUUAGGAGCGAUCUGGCUCUACCCAAAGUAGUUGUUAAAAAUAGUGAAACAGACACCCAACUGUGGGUGUGGGUAGGAAGCAUAGCCCCAGGUGUAUUUAAGAAAAGAAAAGUAAAAGGAGUUCCCUGGCGGCUCAGGGGGUGAAGGAUCUGGUGUCGUCAUUGAUGUGGCUCAGGUCACUGCUGUGGUAUGGGUUCAAGGCCUGGCCCUGGAAUUUACAUAUAUAAAUGUCAUGGGAAUGGCCAACAAAAAACCAAAAAAGCCCAGAUGUGUGGAACAGUCAUUGGUCCUGGGCUGAAUGGUGCCUUCGUGUGUAUCUGCCUAUGGUCGGAAAUGAAUUAGACGCGUAAAUAAAAUACAGGACGAAAUCAGAGCAGACCAAGUGGGAACCAUCCAAGAUAAGGUUUUACGAAUUACAGAGUAAGAUGAACACGCUUAUGUAGAAUCGUGGACUGUUUAGAGCAACAAAACCAAAGUUCUCACCUCUGGGAAUAAGAAGCAUCGUUUUAUUGUGUGUUGGAGCUGAGUUCAUGUGUGUUCCCUGUAUUUAAAAAAAAAAAAGUAAAAACGAGAAAAGGGACAAGUAGGAAACAAAGAGGAGAUUACAUCUGGAAUCAAAGCUAAUUAUGGCUUCAGUUCUGAGCCCAUUAGGAAAAAGAUCUGGGCUGGUCCUUCUGUGAGGAGAACAGCAGAGAGACAGAUGCUUAUCAUGGUCAUUAGUCUUGUUUCUGAUUAGGGUGGUGAAUUCAUGCAUGUUGAUUGUAAUAAAUAACAUGAUUAAACGAAAAAAUAUGCCCAGUGAGCGCUGUGCCUGGGCCGGCAGUGAGUCUGUGUCUUGAAGCAAAGGUUGUGAUUUAUCCUGGGCUGCGCAGCCGUUGGCUGUUAGCAAACAUCUAGGUUGAUUCAUCCUUUUUAACAUCUGCCUUGUGUCCCACAGAACGGAGGCCCCAGAGUGGGUCCCCUGACAUGCCGCUGGUGAAGACCGUGGCCGUGACCUCUGUGGGAAACGAGCCGUGGACCAACCAACGUUAUUACAGAAUAUUGAGUCGAUCUCCUUGUGCUUUACAGAAAGAUUCAAAAAGGACCAAGAAUGGCGAUGGGGAGUGUGGAGUUGCAUGAAGACUAUUGGCUGAUCCUUGUGCCACCAGCGAGGUCCCCUGUAGAAAGAUUCUAUUAGGUCUGAGAGAAAUGAACAAAAAUCACAGAUUCAACAUACCCAAUCUGAUUGACUCAGUGAUGAAGCUGUCAGCUGUCAGUAUCCGUGGAUACACAGCCAAGGGACUCACGGUAUAGGAUGAAGAUGAUUUUUAUCUCAAAUGAUUCUGAAAAAGAGGGCAGACGCUGAAGAGUAUGGCGCCUAUGAGGUGGAGGAAGAUUAAUGACUGAUCCUGUUCCACCCUCCUGAGGGCCAUAUAACAAGAUGGGACCUAGUUUCUCCCUGCUUCGAUUAAGUACAUGGAGAUACGCCAGGUGCCGUACUGACUCCCCUCUUCCACUGUGACAGUCAGAGACACCUCGACAUCGGCAAGUGACCGCUGGGGGCAGUGUUGCCCCCACUGAGAAGCAUCAGGAAUGACCCCAGGACAGCACAUUUACUCAUUUUCUAAGGAACAAAAUCUUAGCAGUUAGCUCUGUGGCUUAAGAACAGAGAGAAAUUUAAUGCAAACACAGCAAGCUGAUCUGAUCCUUCUCUGACUGGGAAGACCCUGACUAUUCUGGGACUUAGGAGAUUAAAGGCCAAGGUGAGGAAGCAUCAGUGUUGGUGUUAUUACACCUGCUUUACCAUAAGGACAAAUCAGGCAAAAGGCAGAAGAGCAGGUGGACGCUAAUGAGUGAACAGAGAAUGGCUGAUUUAAUCAUUUAAUAAAGAAUUGCUAUCAUGAGUGAGCAGCAUAAAGUCUAAUAUAAAGUGAAGACACUGUCGCAUUUGGUCGUUAGCCUGUGAUGGAGACCUUGACCUUUGCCUUUCCGGAUAAAGAGAGAAGCGCUCGCUGGUGACGAUGGUGGCCAUGGCUUCCGUGGGUAAAUCGAGGAACAAAAAGGAUGCUGUUCUUGGGUCAGUGAUGACAGUGAGACUUGACUCGACUUCAUGAUUAACCUAGCACCACCAACUGAUGUUCUUUAAGUCAGUCUGGACCCUUUGUCCUUCUGAACGUUGCUCCACAGAAUGAAGGUCACGGCUGAUUGCAUCCGUCUGUUCUGAGGAAGAUCUUGGCUGUUACCUUUCUGGAAUGGAUGUGCAAUGAUUCAAUUAAAGACUAUAGAACUUACAGUGGGUGCUCCAGGUCAAUGUAAGCAUCUUCAAGAGUCCUGCUCUCUCUGGCCGCCUCAACGUGUCCGGAACAUGGAGACUGAUAAUCAACGCCUCAGCUGAUUUCAGCUUCUGCCACGAUCAAGACUGUCCUGCUGCCACCGUUUUGUAAAAGACCAAGACUGAACUCGACGAGAUGACUGGAAAAUUCUCUCAUGGUCACGUUCUCCGGUUGCCUCCACGUCUGGGCGUAUAGAGACCAGAAAAGAGCACUGAACUCACCCAAGCCACCGCGUUCAGGACGUCAAGGCAGCAUCUCUGUCCAGAACCAUCAAGUCCAAUGGUGGAUGCUCUCAAGCCGGUGCAGACAUUGCCCGUGGCUUCUCCCGUGUGUGAAGAGCUAGCGAGGAAGAACUGAUGCACCUGAACCGAUUAAGCAUUUGGCCAUCACAGGAGCUGCACUGGUGGUCCUGUGCGCAAAAUGGAUCCUCUAAGCUGAUUUCGACUUCUGUGAUUAAGGUUGUCACGUUGCCUCCGUGUUGGGAAAGAGACAAAGGUUUUCUGGAAGGAUUCCUUCAUUGAUAACGAUGUAAGCUGUUUUCAUGGGAAGGGAAGAACAAGUUGGUGCUAGUGAAUGAACUGAAGUGGUGUUAUCCUUCUGCCCUGGCUCUGAACUCUGUGUCAGGAGCCAAGAGACCAAUAGUGGACCUGCCUGAAGGGGUUUAGCGCCUUCCAUGAUGACAAGCUCUUUGGCGGCAUCUACACAGCAUAAGCGUGGAGACCUGGUGUGCAGCCGCCGGACCCGAAGGCCGGCUCCUUCCUGGAUGAGCAGGCGAGGAUGGCAGCGUUGUCUUUGGAGCCAGGGGACCAGUGGUGGAAGCCGAAGGCCAGGCCAGGCUGCGUGGGGCCGAGACCCCUCCUCUGGCGGUGGUGGCAGGAGAGAUCCCAAGGAGUGGAGCCAUUCCCUGGGGAAGCCCCUGAAAGUGCAACAGUGGGUGUGACAGAGGAGCAGCAAUGGGCUGGAGACCUUCAGGGGCCAGGGACCUCCGUCGUCAAUGUUUGGGUCCCGGCCGGGAUGGACUUGGGUGAUGGAGAAGCCUGGUCCAGUGACUCUUCAGUGGGAAGACCGGGGCGCAGGGAAGAAGGUGUCACGAGACCGGCCUGGUGGAUGCAGGUUACCUGAUGGAUGGCUCAAGGGGGCUCGGGCUCUGUCCUGGCAGGGAUCUGUGUCUUUGUGAAGAAACAGCGGCCCCGUUUAGGGGACUGAGUGCAGCCCAGCCCCAGCCCGUCCUCCAACCCCCAAGCCCCGAGGUUCUGCCUCCUUGGGCUCGUAGGAGAAUCACCUGGCCCCAGGGAAGGAGCAGAACCGGCUGACGCUUGAGUCCGCUGAGUGCAGAAAGGGCGAGUCAGUGGCGGUCCUCCUCGCUUUCCCUGUCCCUCUGUCACUGUCCCUGACUCUCUGUCUCGGUGUCUCUGCCUCGGUCUGUCCCUCUUGUCUCUCGCCUGGCUCUCUCUGUCGCCGUACGGGUCUCUUUCCUUUCUGGCAGCUUCGCGUCUGUGUGGUGGGGUGCCCACCGGACCCUGUCGAGCCGAUUGGACCCGUUUCCCUGGUGAGGCCCCUAGACGAUUCCUUCAGUGGGGGAGAUGGCCAAGGAAGCAGUGUGGGGUGGAAGCCGAAGGCCGGGCCAGGCUCCGUGGAGCCGAGACCCCUCCUCUGGCGGUGGUGGCAGGAGAGAUCCCAAGUUUUGUCCUUGGGCCAGGUGUUUGGAUUUCAUUGCCUUAGUCCUAAAUGGAGUCCCAACAUGAAGGACAUCCCUGCGACUGGAGAGCCCUGCCCCUCCGGGCUCACUAGUGGAGGCCCGAGAACAUGGAUAUUCAUGAGGGUCCCUCCGUGUGGAGUGUGUACCCCUCAGAGCAAUUGCACUGGAGAUGCUUUAGCAUCUUCCGUACGGACCCGAGCUCUGGGAUUGCCUCUGAACAUACGUGUUAGGACAUGGGAGAGUCACAGGACAUGCUCCCGCUCUUUCGGCUUCUGCUGAGCUCAAGAUUGUCAGGCCGCCUCCGCGCCAGCAAAGAAGCGAAGGAGGGUGCACCGGAGCUGAAUGCAGCUUUCUUCCUUGAUGAGCAGGACAGGAGCUCAAAGGGAUGUUGGCCUCCGCUGGGAUGAAGGCUCUCCUCUUGGAGUUGUUCUAGGAGAGACCAAGGGCCACACCCGCGGCAUUUGGAAGUUUCUAGGCUAGGGGUCGAAUCGGAGCCAUAGCCGCCGGCCUACACCACAGCCACAGCAACACAGGAUCCAAGCCACAUCUGCAGCCUACGCCACAGCUCAAGCAACGCUGGAUCCCUAACCCAUGGAGCAGGGCCAGGAAUUGAGCUCCCUUCUUCGUGGAUACCAGUCGGGUUUGUUACCGCUGAGCCACAAUGGGAACUCCCCAGCAUAACUGUUUUAAAAAGAUAUAUUACUGUGAGAAUAAACUUACCUAAUAAGGAUAUCAUGUCUUUUCUAGGGUUUUUGUGAAUGAAUGGUUUUAAAUUAUUUUUAGUGAUUUACUGAAUUUGUCAAUAAGCCACAGAGAAAUGAGUGAAGAAAAAGAGGGACUUAUUGGUGGCAUAUGAGGCAUGUACAGUGCAUGUGUGUCUGGAACUCUGAGGUCCAGUGUGGGUGGAAUCUAGUCCAUUGUCCUGUUUGGGGUGAUUCUAGAGACACAUGUCUAGAAAAUACAAGAAACUCGUUUGUGGGUUUUUAUAUUUAUGUACUUUCUUUUGAAAUAAUUGGAUCAAUGAAAUAAAGAAUAAACAACCCAAUAAAUACAUAAAGAUGAAAACAG